rnacentral:rRNA from 1 species
UACGUAGGGGGCAAGCGUUGUCCGGAAUCAUUGGGCGUAAAGCGCGUGUAGGCGGUCCGGUAAGUCGGCCGUGAAAGUCCAGGGCUCAACCCUGGGAUGCCGGUCGAUACUGCCGGACUAGAGUUCGGAAGAGGCGAGUGGAAUUCCCGGUGUAGCGGUGAAAUGCGCAGAUAUCGGGAGGAACACCAAUGGCGAAGGCAGCUCGCCGGGACGUUACUGACGCUGAGACGCGAAAGCGUGGGGAGCAAACAGG